rnacentral:rRNA from 1 species
UGCAGUCGAACGGUAACAGGUCUUCGGACGCUGACGAGUGGCGAACGGGUGAGUAAUACAUCGGAACGUGCCCAGUCGUGGGGGAUAACUACUCGAAAGAGUAGCUAAUACCGCAUACGAUCUGAGGAUGAAAGCGGGGGACCUUCGGGCCUCGCGCGAUUGGAGCGGCCGAUGGCAGAUUAGGUAGUUGGUGGGAUAAAAGCUUACCAAGCCGACGAUCUGUAGCUGGUCUGAGAGGACGACCAGCCACACUGGGACUGAGACACGGCCCAGACUCCUACGGGAGGCAGCAGUGGGGAAUUUUGGACAAUGGGCGAAAGCCUGAUCCAGCAAUGCCGCGUGCAGGAUGAAGGCCUUCGGGUUGUAAACUGCUUUUGUACGGAACGAAAAAGCUUCUCCUAAUACGAGAGGCCCAUGACGGUACCGUAAGAAUAAGCACCGGCUAACUACGUGCCAGCAGCCGCGGUAAUACGUAGGGUGCGAGCGUUAAUCGGAAUUACUGGGCGUAAAGCGUGCGCAGGCGGUUAUGUAAGACAGAUGUGAAAUCCCCGGGCUCAACCUGGGAACUGCAUUUGUGACUGCAUGGCUAGAGUACGGUAGAGGGGGAUGGAAUUCCGCGUGUAGCAGUGAAAUGCGUAGAUAUGCGGAGGAACACCGAUGGCGAAGGCAAUCCCCUGGACCUGUACUGACGCUCAUGCCACGAAAGCGUGGGGAGCAAACAGGGAUUAGA